rnacentral:lncRNA from 1 species
UGGUAAGAAAACCCAUCAGCCACACUGGAACUCUGCCGACUCUUCUCGGAAUCUGUUGUCUCUCAUGCUUCACCUUUUACACUAUUCUCUAGGAACUUGCUCAGCCCGCUGGAAGAGGAGCCUCGAAAUUCUGUCAUCCCGGAAGCCAAUUGCUCUAGUUUGGAUAAGGAGUGUUUCUUCCCGCUACCACAGCUCUUGCUAUGAAGCCAAGGAGUGGCGACCUCUUGUCACUGGGCAUGGUUCCCCCAUGCCCAGGAGCUUGGAGCAUGGUGAGAAGUUCUGAGAAAGCCAGGAGCCCACAGCCCAAGUCAAUCAGAGUGCUAUGGACACCUGCUGCCGACCUUUCUUGGUUCUGUCUCCCAGGAUGGUUACGAGCUGAGUGCUGGGAUCAUUGGUGUGCCGGGAAAUGGCCUCACACCGUUCCUGUGACCCACUGUCUGGAAGCCGCGGGCUUGCUCAUUAUCCACGCUCUCCUGGAGGUCCAGUUACCAGCAUUGUCCACUGCCAGGGCCACAGCGGAAACUGGUCUAACCAGUUUUCUCCUCUCCCUGGACUAUUCCAAGGCAGACACACUCAAGCCUGGCAAAAAUACUGAGAGUUUCUGUUCCCAGGACGGAGACCCGCCACAACAAGCCUGGCUGUUGUUAAACUCUAGUCUGGUUUCCUCCCCCAACCCCAUCUUCUCUCCCCAACACCUCCUGGGUUUACCACGAGGCUAUGCACCAUCGAGUUUGAAUGCCGCGUUGAGUUGUUGAUUAAAACAGCAUGCCGU